GCCUCUGUAGCUCGGUUGGUUAGAGCGCUGCACCGGAAUCGCCGGGCCGUAGGUUCAAUUCCUACCAGAGGAC
rnacentral:tRNA from 1 species